GUGAAUCAUCGAAUUUUUGAACGCAAAUUGCACUCUCUUCGGAGAGUAUGCCUGUUUGAGGGUCAGCCUAAAAAAAAUCGACGUCGUCGCUGUUUCGCGGUGACGUUCGUCGGAAAUUGGGCCAUCUUAAACCUUUGGGUUUUUUAGCGGUUAAAAUUUUUCUUUUCGUUUCCACGAACGUUCUUAAGAUUUUUCUUUUUACAGACGU
rnacentral:misc_RNA from 1 species